ACCGUAAAGUGGGCGCUGGUGUGGGUCCCUUCCCGGGAUCCGUGCCGCAGCUAACGCAUUAAGCGCCCCGCCUGGGGAGUACGGCCGCAAGGCUAAAACUCAAAGGAAUUGACGGGGGCCCGCACAAGCGGCGGAGCAUGCGGAUUAAUUCGAUGCAACGCGAAGAACCUUACCAAGGCUUGACAUGCACCGGACGACUGCAGAGAUGUGGUUUCCCUUUGUGGCUGGUGCACAGGUGGUGCAUGGUUGUCGUCAGCUCGUGUCGCGAGAUGUUGGGUUAAGUCCCGCAACGAGCGCAACCCUCGUUCUAUGUUGCCAGCGGUUCGGCCGGGGACUCAUAGGAGACUGCCGGGGUCAACUCCGAGGAAGGUGGGGAUGACGUCAAAUCAUCAUGCCCCUUACGUCUUGGGCUUCACGCAUGCUACAAUGGGCGGUACAAAGGGCUGCGAUCCCGUGAGGGGGAGCGAAUCCCAGAAAGCCGGUCUCAGUUCCGAUUGGGGUCUGCAACUCGACCCCAUGAAGUCGGAGUCGCUAGUAAUCGCAGAUCAGCAACGCUGCGGUGAAUACGUUCCCGGGCCUUGUACACACCGCCCGUCAAGUCACGAAAGUCGGUAACACCCGAAGCCGGUGGCCCAACCCCUUGGGGAGGGAGCUGUCGAAGGUGGGACUGGUGAUUGGGAC
rnacentral:rRNA from 1 species